UUAAUUUUUAAUAGAGCAAUAUGAAUAGAGGAUAUAUUAAGAAAAGACUAAAUAAAAUUUAUUGUUUUAAUUAUAUUUUCUUAAACCAUAUGAAAAUCGAAGUAAGCCUAACUUUAUGGGAUGGGGGGAGUAUAUAAUUUGUAUUUCAAAGAUCUAGUGGAAAAAAAAAAGGACCCUUUUAAGGCUUUAAUGAGGUUCCUCCACACUUGCAAUGUGCAAAUGCCUUACCUUUUGGUUUUGGUCUAAAAUUGUUGCUUAUAGUUGUAUAAAGACGCACUUUGUUAAAUCUAUUUACGUACACCUUUUGCAGAACUCCAGUAUUUGCUGAGGAA
rnacentral:misc_RNA from 1 species